rnacentral:misc_RNA from 1 species
UCGAAAUUAUAGGCGAGGGUUGUAGCUGGCCUCCCGGGGCACGUGCACGCCCGAGCCCUUAAUCCACACACACCUGUGAACCUAUUGUAAGGGCCCGUGAAAAGGCCUUUACGUUUUAUCAUCAACCCACUGUAUGUCUCUUGAACAAAAAACAAGAAA